rnacentral:rRNA from 1 species
AACGAACGCUGGCGGCAUGCCUAACACAUGCAAGUCGAACGAGGCCUUCGGGUCUAGUGGCGCACGGGUGCGUAACGCGUGGGAAUCUGCCCUUGGGUUCGGAAUAACAGUUAGAAAUGACUGCUAAUACCGAAUGAUGUCUUCGGACCAAAGAUUUAUCGCCCAGGGAUGAGCCCGCGUCGGAUUAGCUAGUUGGUGAGGUAAAGGCUCACCAAGGCGACGAUCCGUAGCUGGUCUGAGAGGAUGAUCAGCCACACUGGGACUGAGACACGGCCCAGACUCCUACGGGAGGCAGCAGUGGGGAAUAUUGGACAAUGGGCGAAAGCCUGAUCCAGCAAUGCCGCGUGAGUGAUGAAGGCCUUAGGGUUGUAAAGCUCUUUUACCCGGGAUGAUAAUGACAGUACCGGGAGAAUAAGCCCCGGCUAACUCCGUGCCAGCCGCCGCGGUAAUAC